rnacentral:rRNA from 1 species
AGUGAACGCUGGCGGUAGGCCUAACACAUGCAAGUCGAACGGCAGCACAGUAAGAGCUUGCUCUUACGGGUGGCGAGUGGCGGACGGGUGAGGAAUACAUCGGAAUCUACUUUUUCGUGGGGGAUAACGUAGGGAAACUUACGCUCAUACCGCAUACGACCUACGGGUGAAAGCAGGGGAUCUUCGUACCUUGCGCGAUUGAAUGAGCCGAUGUCGGAUUAGCUAGUUGGCGGGGUAAAGGCCCACCAAGGCGACGAUCCGUAGCUGGUCUGAGAGGAUGAUCAGCCACACUGGAACGGAGACACGGUCCAGACUCCUACGGGAGGGAACAGUGGGGAAUAUUGGACAAUGGGCGCAAGCCUGAUCCAGCCAUACCGCGUGGGUGGAGAAGGCCUUCGGGUUGUAAAGCCCUUUUGUUGUGAAAGAAAAGCAGCAGGUUAAUACCCCGCUGUUCUGACGGUACCCAAAGAAUAAGCACCGGCUAACUUCGUG